GAUGAACGCUGGCGGCGUGCCUAAUACAUGCAAGUCGAGCGAACAGACGAGGAGCUUGCUCCUCUGACGUUAGCGGCGGACGGGUGAGUAACACGUGGAUAACCUACCUAUAAGACUGGGAUAACUUCGGGAAACCGGAGCUAAUACCGGAUAAUAUAUUGAACCGCAUGGUUCAAUAGUGAAAGACGGUUUUGCUGUCACUUAUAGAUGGAUCCGCGCCGCAUUAGCUAGUUGGUAAGGUAACGGCUUACCAAGGCAACGAUGCGUAGCCGACCUGAGAGGGUAAUCGGCCACACUGGAACUGAGACACGGUCCAGACUCCUACGAGAGGCAGCAGUAGGGAAUCUUCCGCAAUGGGCGAAAGCCUGACGGAGCAACGCCGCGUGAGUGAUGAAGGUCUUCGGAUCGUAAAACUCUGUUAUUAGGGAAGAACAAAUGUGUAAGUAACUAUGCACGUCUUGACGGUACCUAAUCAGAAAGCCACGGCUAACUACGUG
rnacentral:rRNA from 1 species